AUUGAACGCUGGCGGCAGGCCUAACACAUGCAAGUCGAGCGAGCGGCGGACGGGUGAGUAAUGUAUGGGGACUGCCCGAUAGAGGGGGAUCACUACUGGAAACGGUGGCUAAUACCGCAUACUAUCGGAUAACCCAUAUGGGAUUAGCUAGUAGGUGGGGUAAAGGCUCACCUAGGCGACGAUCUCUAGCUGGUCGGAGAGGAUGAUCAGCCAAACGGGGACGGAGACACGGCCCAGACUCCUACGGAGGAAGAAUGGGGGAAGAUUGCACAAGGGGGGAAAGCCGGAUGAAGCCAGGCCGCGUGUAGGAUGAAGGCCUUAGGGUUGUAAGGUACGUUCAGCGGGGAGGCGUUACCCGAAGAAGAAGCAACGGCUAACUCCGUGCCAGCAGCCGCGGUAAUUC
rnacentral:rRNA from 1 species